rnacentral:lncRNA from 1 species
UUUUUUUUUUUUUUUUUUAAUCUGUUAGGGCUCUGUGUUUCACUUAAAAGGAAAGCAACUCAGACUGACUUAAACGAUACAUGACAAAAAAAGUGGGUUUUGUUUUUCUGCAUUUGGCUGAUUGCUUUCGGCUUUUAUAACUGGAAGAUCCAGGGAUAGGGUGGAAAUCAAGAUUGACUUGCCUUAACUGCUCACGGAGUCAUCACUCUGCAGGCCUUGUGCAGGGUCAGCUUAUCGUCAGACUGACUUCUCUCGUAGUGGUAAAAUGACAGUAUAGAUUUAGACUUUACAUUCAACCACCCCACUGUCAAGAAUUACUCACAAGAUGUCUUCUUUCUCAGAAUCCAUUAAAAAAUGUAAAUGUCCUAUUUGGGUCAGAUAUUCUUUCUUGAACCAAUAUAAAAGGGAGGUUGACAAUGACCAAAUUCCAAAUACAAAUCAAAAUCAAUUUAAGAAAAUUUUAAGACCCGUGAGUUAAGAAUUAGUACUUGAGGCCGGGCGUGGUGGCUCAUGCCUGUAAUCCCAGCACUUUGGGAGGCCGAGGCGGGUGGAUCUCAAGGGGAGAUUGAGACCAUCCUGGCUAACACGGUGAAACCCCGUCUCUACUAAAAACAUAAAAAAUUAGCCGGGCGUGGUGGCGGGCGCCUGUAGUACCAGCUACUCGGGUGGCUGAGGCAGGAGAAAACCCGGGAGGCGGAGCUUGCAGUGAGCCGAGAUCGCGCCACUGCACUCCAGCCUGGGCGACAGAGCGAGACUCCGUCUCAAAAAAACAAAAAACAAAAAACAACAAAAAAAAGAAUUAGUACUUGAUUAUGUUGGUGAAGAAAUCUUUGUGUGAGCUGAAUUAAUCUUAAAAGGCUUCUAGGAGCAAAUUUUGUUUUUAAGAUAUAUUUAAAUUAUGGGCAAAAAGAGUGUGAUGAACUGGAAGGGGCAAAUUGGAGUAAUGCCCCCUACGUCAAUUUUUGUACUUACAUUUGAGAUAUAUUUAAAAAUAGAUACCCCACUGAGCACUUAUUUAAAGCCCUAUGCUAAGCUCUUUAUAUAUAUUAUUCAUAUCACACAAAGACCUUUUCUAGAAUUAGAUACUAUUAUCCCUAUUUAGCAGAUGAGAAAACUGGGUUUCAGAGAGGUUAAGUGACUUUUCCAAGAUCAUUGUUAGAAAGUGAUGAAAAGUAAUUUGAAUUUAUAACUUCUAAUUUGAUAGUUCAUGAUCAUAACCAUUACAUUAUUAUUAUGCUCACAUUUUUUGGUUUAUAGGUCAAUCUCUUAUUUUGUGAUCUUUAAUAUGUUUAUUAUUUAUAGGUCAAUCUCUUCAUUUUUGUGAAAUCCCUAAAGGCAGAAAAAGCAGGGAAUCUUUACUGCUCAAUUCACUAACCUCUCUGUAGUAUCUAAAAUAGUGUCUGACUUAUAGUAAAUGCUUAAUUAAUAUUUAAAAAUUGUUGAAUAAAGGAUUAUAUCUUUUGGGCUAGAAAAUGACAUUAUUGAUUACCUUAGGCCAAUUCUGGAACUGGUUGCUACACAAAAGGGGAGAGAUAAAAUUUAUCAUAAAAAAAAUAUAUAUAACAACAAUGUCCGCUACAAUUCUUGGAAGAAAAUUCCAAAUUUGGAGUCUGGCACCACAUUUUAUUAACUACCUAACUAAAGUGUGGUUUUCUGUACCUCUGUUUUCUUUUAUAAAAUUAUGGAAAUGUAUAGUGCACAUCUCACUCUCUUAUUGUGAAUACUGUGAAGAUUAAAAAAGGUAAUAUAUGUCAGUUAUCAUGCAAUAUGCCCAGCAUAAGAACUCACUGAAUAUUAAAUACUAUAAUUCUUAUUGUUACUAACUGUCUUUUCCACUUCAUUAUCAUUCUUAUUAGCAUCAUCUCCAUGAGAUCAAAGUGUUCCAAUUAUAUCCUGAGGAGGCUGUUGUUUGAUCUAUUUUUCAACUGUAAGAUGGUCCUUAAUAACAUCAAUAAUAUGUAUUAAUUGGUGGUUCAAUGUUUUUCUCGCAAGAAACCAAGUGAAUAUUAAAAAUAUUCCUAAUUGACAAGGAAGUACAGGAGCUGACUUGCUAGGAUCACAGAACCAACAACAAGAGUGCGUCUGCAUGUCAAGACUCUGACCUACUGUGUGGGACUCUUUUCAUUACUCCAUCCUCAUCCUCCACCAGCCAUAGCCACCGAAGAACACUCACUUAUUUAAGCAAACUCUGUUUUUAGAAUUGAAGAUGAUAAUUAUUUAUUGCUUUUUUCAGAGUUUUUAUUUUUUAACAUUUAUUACAACAAAUUAGAAUAUAAGAUGA